rfam:Anaerotruncus colihominis DSM 17241 Scfld_02_24 genomic scaffold, whole genome shotgun sequence.
GGUCAAGCUACAAAGGGCACAGGGUGAAUGCCUUGGCACUGGGAGCCGACGAAAGACGUGAUAAGCUGCGAAAAGCCACGGGGAGCUGCAAAUAAGCCUUGAUCCGUGGAUAUCUGAAUGGAGCAAUCCGGCGGAUGUAACGAUCCGUCAUGGCAUACUGAAUCCAUAGGUAUGUCAGGGGAACCGCCUGAACUGAAACAUCUAAGUAGGGCGAGGAAGAGAAAUCAACCGAGAUUCCGUAAGUAGUGGCGAGCGAAAGCGGAAGAGGCCAAACCGCAUGCAGCAAUGUGUGCGGGGUUGCGGACUGCAUAAGGUAUGUUGAAGUCUAGCUGAACUGUAUGGGAAGGCAGACCGGAGAGCGUGAGAGUCGCGUAAGCGAAAGACAGAGACAGCCGGCAGGAUCCAGAGUACCGCGGGACACGUGAAACCCCGUGGGAAGCCGGGGGGACCACCCUCCAAGCCUAAAUACUCCCCAGUGACCGAUAGAGAAUAGUACUGUGAAGGAAAGGUGAAAAGCACCCCGGGAGGGGAGUGAAACAGCACCUGAAACCCUGCGCCUACAAGCACAUAGAGCACGUCAAAGUGUGAUAUGGUACCUUUUGUAGAAUGGUCCGGCGAGCGUAUGUAUGCAGCAAGGUUAGAGCGCUUAAGGCGUGGAGCCGAAGGGAAACCGAGUCUGAAUAGGGCGUGAAGUUGCAUGCAUAGGGCCCGAAACCGGGUGACCUAUCCAUGUCCAGGUUGAAGUGGGAGUAAAAUCCCAUGGAGGACCGAACCGACCUCCGUUGAAAAGGCGGCGGAUGAGGUGUGGAUAGCGGAGAAAUUCCAAUCGAACCCGGAGAUAGCUGGUUCUCCCCGAAAUAGCUUUAGGGCUAGCGUUGUAUUAGAUUACCGGAGGUAAAGCACUGAAUGGGCUAGGGGCCGAGAGGUUACUGAACCCUAUCAAACUCUGAAUGCCGGAUAAUUGAUGUACAGCAGUCAGACUACGUGAGAUAAGUCUCGUGGUCGAGAGGGAAAAAGCCCAGACCCACAGCUAAGGUCCCAAAUACACGUUAAGUGGAAAAGGAUGUGGAGUUGCACAGACAACCAGGAUGUUGGCUUAGAAGCAGCCACUCAUUAAAAGAGUGCGUAAUAGCUCACUGGUCGAGUGACUCUGCGCCGAAAAUUCAACGGGGCUAAACGUGUAACCGAAGCUUGGGAUUUCAUUCACUGAACAAUGCUUUUUGUCAGGCAGGAGGGAAAGAUUUGCUGCCGAAGGCAGCUAAAUUCCCAAAAGCAAACGAGAGAGAAAGUAUUGGUCAGUGAAUGAAAUGGUAGGGGAGCGUCGUAUACGGGGUGAAGUAUGAGCGAAAGCGCAUGUGGACUGUAUACGAGUGAGAAUGCCGGAAUGAGUAGCGAGAAAUAUGUGAGAAUCAUAUUGGCCGAAAGUCUAAGGUUUCCGGAGGAAGGUUCGUCCGCUCCGGGUAAGCCGGGAGCUAAGGUGAGGCCGGAAGGCGUAGCCGAUGCACAUACGGUAGAGAUUCCGUAGCUGCCGGAGGAUUUAAGCAGAGGGACACUGUCAAAGGGUAUGACCCGGGCGUUGGUAGCCCCGGGCGAAAGGGACUGAAAUAUAGUAGGGAAGCAUACUUGGCGGCAGGCGAGAAAAGCUCUGUGGAUAUCUGAGGCACCCGUACCGCAAACCGACACAGGUAGACAGGAAGAGAAUUCUAAGGCCAACGGGAGAAGGGUUGUUAAGGAACUCGGCAAGUUGACCCCGUAACUUAGGGAAAAGGGGUGCUCCUGAAAGGGAGCCGCAGAGAAUAGGUCCAGGCGACUGUUUAGCAAAAACACAGCUCUAUGCUAAAUCGAAAGAUGACGUAUAUGGGGUGACACCUGCCCGGUGCCGGAAGGUUAAGAGGAGGAGUGAGAGCUCUGAAUUGAAGCCCCGGUAAACGGCGGCCGUAACUAUAACGGUCCUAAGGUAGCGAAAUUCCUUGUCAGGUAAGUUCUGACCCGCACGAAUGGUGUAACGAUCUGGACACUGUCUCAACAGCCCGCCCGGCGAAAUUGUAGUACCGGUGAAGAUGCCGGUUACCCGCGACAAGACGGAAAGACCCCAUGGAGCUUUACUGCAGCUUAAUAUUGGAUUUCGGUAUUUCAUGUACAGGAUAGGUGGGAGGCAGAGAAGGCAGCACGCCAGUGUUGCUGGAGCCGCCGUUGGGAUACCACUCUUGAGGUGCUGAAAUUCUAACCUGCGGCCGUGAAUCCGGUCGGGGGACAGUGUUAGGCGGGCAGUUUGACUGGGGCGGUCGCCUCCAAAAAGGUAACGGAGGCGCUCAAAGGUUGGCUCAGCAUGGACGGAAACCAUGCCAGAGAGUGUAAACGCACAAGCCAGCCUAACUGCGAGAGCGACAGUUCGAGCAGUAACGAAAGUUGGAGUUAGUGAUCCGGUGGUAUGUGAGUGGAAAUGCCAUCGCUCAACGGAUAAAAGCUACCCUGGGGAUAACAGGCUGAUCUCCCCCAAGAGUCCACAUCGUCGGGGAGGUUUGGCACCUCGAUGUCGGCUCAUCGCAUCCUGGGGCUGAAUUCGGUCCCAAGGGUUUGGCUGUUCGCCAAUUAAAGCGGUACGCGAGCUGGGUUCAGAACGUCGUGAGACAGUUCGGUCCCUAUCUGUCGUGGGCGCAGGAUA